UCUAAAGAUACUGCCCCGGUUAACGGGGAGGAAGGUGGGGAUGACGUCAAGUCCUCAUGGCCUUUAUGUCCAGGGCUACACACGUGCUACAAUGGGUUGUACAAAGGGUUGCGAACUCGCGAGAGUAAGCCAAAUCCCAAAAGCAACUCUUAGUUCGGAUUGGAGUCUGCAACUCGACUCCAUGAAGCUGGAAUCGCUAGUAAUCGUGGAAUCAGCAUGCCACGGUGAAUACGUUCCCGGGCCUU
rnacentral:rRNA from 1 species